GACAUUGCUUGGCGCGUGGUAUAAAUCGAUUUAGUUUGUGUUGGGAGAAUUCAGUUGACAAGUUUUGGAGGAGUGAUUCUUAUGUUUCUGCGAAAAGACGAACACAAAAGUUAUUUAAAAUGUGUAUGAAGGUUAUAUGUGAAACUUGCAAGAAAGUCACGUGGAAAGGUUGUGGUGCUCACGUGGAGCAGGUGUUGAAGGAUGUCCCCCAGGACCAGAGGUGCAAAUGUCCAAGAAAAUAGACAAUAUACAGUUCAAGAUUACGAGGAGCCAUUUAACAGUUCAACGCGCCACUUGCCUUUCGACUCAUCACAUCUUCUUGUUUAGUUAUGUUGAGCUCAUUGUUCACUGUUUCACAAAACUAUACGUACAUAGUUUGCUGUUAUUUUGUACAUUUUAGUUGUGUAAAUACGUUGUUUAAUUUAAAUAAAUGUUCUUAAAUUGUU